UACGGCUAUUUCAAGUUUAAACACCGGUUUUCGUACGAUCAUGAAGUUAAGCAAGGUCGAGCCUGGCCAGUACCUAGAUGAGUGACCGCUUGCAAAUACCAGGUGUU